rnacentral:rRNA from 1 species
GAUGAACGCUGGCGGCGUGCCUAAUACAUGCAAGUCGAACGAGGUGCUUUUGUAGCAAUACGAGAGUAUCCUAGUGGCGAACGGGUGAGUAACGCGUUGGUGACCUACCCCAAAGUGUGG